rnacentral:miRNA from 1 species
UCCAGGAGUUGGAAGGCUGAUG